rnacentral:rRNA from 1 species
UACAUGGGGUGCAAACGUUGCUCGGAAUCACUGGGCGUAAAGGGCGCGUAGGCGGACUCUUAAGUCGGGGGUGAAAGCCCAGGGCUCAACCCUGGAAUUGCCUUCGAUACUGAGAGUCUUGAGUUCGGAAGAGGUUGGUGGAACUGCGAGUGUAGAGGUGAAAUUCGUAGAUAUUCGCAAGAACACCAGUGGCGAAGGCGGCCAACUGGUCCGGUACUGACGCUGAGGUGCGAAAGCGUGGGGAGCAAACAGG